CGCACCUCUGACCUCAGAGGAUCCAAUAAAGCUUGUUGCUGCUUCCUGACCCCACAGCAGCAGCUCAACAUCAGCCUGUGACCAGCUCAGCCAGCCAGACCUCCUGCAUUUCAGCUCCUGGGAUAGGGCUAGAGCUGGGAAGGGACCCAGCCACUCACAUCAGUGCCCAGGAUGUCUGCUGACAAAGGCCAGUGGAUGCCCCCUGAGGGCAGGGAGAAUGUGCCUGAGAAGCUGCUAAGAAAGAGCAGGGAGUCGCCACUGGUGCCUGCAGGUGAGUGGGGAGGUUGGGCUGGGGCGGGGUCACAGAUUGGGGUGCUCUGCCCGCUGCAUAGGCCCAAGCUCACAACAGACACACAGCUGUGCAGGGAAGAGACAGUAACCAAGCACAAGGCACCACGCCAGCCAGCCUCAGGAGGGGAGGCAGGGCCAGCUGCAGGGCUGGGAGUACAGGAAUGAUGAACCCUCUGCACAUGGAGGGGGAUCUGUGAGGAACCAGAGCUGUGACAGCCCACAGGGGACACUCAAGCCAGUGACCCCAGCUCUCUGUAAGACUGUGGUGUGGGGACUGAGGCCCAGGUCACUCUGUCUACAGGCCUGGCAGCCUGUCUGGCAGUGGCCACAUACAGGAUCCACCGGCUGAGGGCUCGCGGAUCCACCAAGCUGUCUGUACACCUGAUUCAUACGCGUGUGGCUGCACAGGCAUGCGCUGUGGGUGCCAUCCUGCUAGGUAAGCUCUGGCUGGGGGCUUGGGAAGAUCCAGGGCCAAUGGUCCUGAGAUGGCUCAGGGAACCCGGUUUCACACCCCCACUGGGUGAUCGCCUAGGAGGUGAGGAAGUUACUCAGCAGAACAGGCACUGACACCCUCCUCUCUGGAACUGAGAGCAGUAGCCUCAGGAAGGAGGACUUCAAGUUAGUUGAAGCCCUUCUUGUCUUUAAAAAAAAGUAGACAGGUAAUACCAGUGAGCAGUGAAUCCUGCUCACUGCCUGUUUCCCCAGGUGCAUGACAACAGCCCCCCUCUGCCUGAAGGGUUUGACAAGGCACCAUGUACUCGCUGUACAGAGACUACAGCAAGCGGACAGCGCGGGAUGCCGAGGGCAGCAGGGGUCGCGCAGGUGCCCAAUAAAGCA